rnacentral:rRNA from 1 species
GACUCUGUUUAACGGCCGCGGUAUCCUAACCGUGCAAAGGUAGCGUAAUCACUUGUUCUUUAAAUGAGGACUAGUAUGAAUGGCAUCACGAGGGUUACACUGUCUCCUUUUCUAAAUCAGUGAAACUAAUCUCCCCGUGAAGAAGCGGGGGUAAAUCUAUAAGACGAGAAGACCCUAUGGAGCUUUAAACUUCUCAACAAUUAUCUUCAUGUUUGUAAAUCUCCAGAGCAGCAAAACCAACCUAGAUAAUAUGUCUGUAAGUUUUCGGUUGGGGUGACCGCGGAGCAAAACAUAGCCCCCGCAAUGAAUUAGAACCCUAUUUCUAAACAAAGAGUUACAACUCUCAGUAUCAAAAAAUUGACAUAAUUGACCCAACACUUUGAUCAAUGAACCAAGUUACCCUAGGGAUAACAGCGCAAUCCAUCUCAAGAGCUCUUAUCGACAGAUGGGUUUACGACCUCGAUGUUGGAUCAGGGUGUCCCAGUGGUGCAGCCGCUACUAAAGGUUCGUUUGUUCAACGAUUAAAACCCUACGUGAUCUGAGUUCA